rnacentral:tRNA from 1 species
GCAUUGGUGGUACAGUGGUAGAAUUCUUGCCUUCCAUGCAUUAGACCUGGGUUCGAUUCCUGGCCAAAACA